rnacentral:rRNA from 1 species
GAGACUCUGUGCGCGUGCAUAUCAAUAAGCGGAGGAAAAGAAACUAACAAGGAUUCCCUUAGUAACGGCGAGUGAAGCGGGAAGAGCUCAAAUUUGAAAUCUUCAAGGUUCUACCUUGACGAAUUGUAGUUUAUAGAAGUGUUUUCUGUUAGUAGAGUGGCAAAAGUUCUUUGGAAUAGGACAUCAUAGAGGGUGAGAAUCCGUAUUUGGUCAUUCCUCUCUAGCUUUGUGAUACACUUUCAACGAGUCGGAUUGUUUGGGAAUGCAGUCCAAAAUGGGUGGUAAAUUUCAUCUAAAGCUAAAUAUUGGCGAGAGACCGAUAGCGAACAAGUACCGUGAGGGAAAGAUGAAAAGAACUUUGAAAAGAGAGUUAAACAGUACGUGAAAUUGUCAAAAGGGAAGCGUUUGACACCAGUGUUGUUUAGUUGAAAAUCAAUUCAAUAGUUUUUGAUUCUAAGUAGUAUUGACUUCAUCAGCUUGCUGCUUUCUUCUCAGAAAUCAUUGAAUGCACUUUUCAGUUAACAAGUCAACAUCAAUAUUCUUUUGUUGUAUAAGGGUAAGAGGAAGGUGGCUUGCGCUUCGGCUCAAGUGUUUAUAGCCUUUUAUCUCUGCAAUCGGAGAGAUUGAGGUCUGCAGCGUAGAUCCUUCGGGGUUAGAUACAUUGGUGCUAAGCUAUAGCCUUGUAUAGACAACUUGUUGACUAUGCUCAGUCAUGUAGCUUACUCGCUGAUGCUAUUUUACCUACGCUUAGGAUGUUGACAGCAGUAUAGACUGU